rnacentral:lncRNA from 1 species
UUAGAUGCUCUCAUCUUUUCUUCUCCCUCAAGCCUAACCAUAUACUUCGUCAAACACCUCACCUUCCGGUCAUCUUCGGCAACCAUCCUUUUAACCCAAGCCUCUGAUGAGUCUCUCAUCGCCUUGCUCAUCAUCUCUAAGAUCUUCAACAGUUCUGGGCCAUGCCGAUUUGGACCUAGGAUUUCUAUUUUUGUUACUUAUGGCUUCUCCAGUGUGAUUUUGGGCAAAAUCACACCUUAUAUGUUACGAUUGGUGAAGUCUGCAACAGGUUCUUUCGAUUUCUAUUUGGGAUUCCCUUAGAAACCCUAGCUCUCUUCUGAUCUCUUAGAUCUAUGAUAUUUUUACACUUUAAGCAUGUUUCCUUCUAUGAUUUACUUAUUCUCGAGCUUCUUCUGAAAGAUCCUCCGCUUUGAAUUGUUUUUACUUUCUUUGAAAUCUAGGGUUUCUCGGAGAUCCUUCUACGCUUGGUUUAACCGAUUUCCUUAUCAUUAAACCUUUUUCCUUACUUAUUUUGACCAAUUUUACGCUCCUACCACUUUUUUACUCGACUCUAUUAAAGCCUUAAUUUUAAAGAUUUUCUUUGCUUUGGUACUAUAUGUUAGCAUGAUUUUCCUUGCUUUGGUUCUAUGAGUUAGCAUGAUUUUCUUUGCUUUGUGAGUUAGCAUGACUUCUUUGCUUUGGUUCUGUGUGUCAGCAUGAUUUUCUUUGCCUUGGUUCUAUAUGUUAGCCUGUUUAUUUGAAUCUUGUUGAUCUCUCGUGGUCACCGGGCUUUAAAUGUGUAUACUGAAUUCCUAGCCUACUUAUGUCACUUUUGUGUGACUGUGCUCACUUUUACUACUAAAAUAUCUGGUUUUAGCGACAGACAAAUUCUAUAGGUAUAUAUUAAAAUUCGUUGCUCUUCUCAUUUAGCGAUGAAUUAGUGACGGAUUAUCAAGAAAUUCUGCUAGCUACAAGCGAUUUAACGACAGAUUAGCGACGACUUUCGUAGCUAAUUCUAAUUUUUUUGUAGUGUUUGUUUGUUCAUCUCUUGCUUCUUGUUGUCAAUAUGGCUGACCUUGCUUAUUGCUAUGUCUGUUGAGCUCUUCUAUUUAUAUGUUGAACAUGCAGAAUCACGACUCUCUCUUGAUUGAUUCUGACUUCCUUAAUUGAUGGUGAUUGAAAUAUUUUCUUUCAAAGACUUACCAGCUUGACCCUGUCAAUUUAAGCUGACUGAUUUGCUUGCCAUAUUUUCUAUGAUACCUAUUUCUACUUAGUUGUGUCCUUAAUUAAGGCUUUAUGAAUUUGGUCCUAACUGGCUUCUCUAUGCUUACUGAACCUUGAAUCCUUCCUAAUUGAUUGAUUCUGAGUUCUUAAAUUAGUAGACUACUAUGUUUUUACCUUAUUUCAUUUCCUACUUUCAACUAUAAAUACCCUAAGUCUUUCAUAAACAAGACACAGAAAAUUGGGUUUUCAAAACUUCUCUCUUAUUAAAAAUCUAUGUUCCCCCUCUCUCUUGUGCUAUUUGCUGUUAUUACCCCGCUGCAAGCUAAGACUAAUCAUAUGUGCUCUUUAGUUCUUUCAUUCUACCUAUUUCUGUCUUCACUGGUAUGUCCUAGUUUAAUUUAAAGCCUCGACGACAACAUGCUUCUUUUCUUGUUUCAGUUUCUCUUAUUUCUAGUCUCUUCUACUUGUGGUUCUGUUGUGAAACUUGUAGUUAAGUCACAUUACGAGCAUGCUACUAUAUCUCCCUUCCCUUUAAAUCAAUGUAUUCCCUUAUGUAAUUCAAAGCAUGCCUGGACAAUUGUCUUUUACAUGUUUUGUACUUACCAUUUUUGUGAAAUCUUUAUCACCCCAUCUAUACAUUUGUAUUUUUCUUGACUAGUUGUGAUUAUGCCAGUGUCAACUAUCUAUGAGCAUGUCCAAUCCAGUCUUAAGACCCACUGCUGGGUUCAUGUGUUUCCAUUCAAAUGUUUAUGUAUCCCCAAACCCCUUGACCCUUAUAUGACUCUUGAAUUCUGAAAAUUAGCUGUGUAUGAUCUCUUGCUAAGGUGUUUAAACUUUUUUACUACUCCAUCCUCCUUCUAAGCUAUCUCUGUUGCUUUACUAAGUGCUUUCAAAACAGACUUUCCAAUAUAGUCUUCAAUAACUCUUUCAAAUAUGUGUCCUGCACUUUCACUUCACUCUUAGUGAAUAAGUUCUACCCCUUCUAGUAUGUGUACUGCCUUGGGAUCCUCUUGAGAGCACUCUGAUCUCUGGAAUAAUGAGGCUGGCCCUUUCACACUGCACUUGUUCAAUGCGUGGUACUAAGUCUAGGUGUAAACAUUGCUCGAGGUCCUUGAGACCCUUAGGGAACGCUGAUGCACCUAGACUCUAAUUUGUCUAUGGAAAUGAGGCUUGUAAGACCAUUGGAGGCUAUUGGAAACUUGGGCCUAACUGCAGGCUCCCUAUAUAAUAGCUUCUUGAUUUUCUAUUUCAUUUACAUAAUUCACUAGCAUGUAAUAAUUUGUAAAUAGAUAUUUGGGGAAUUUAGUGAAAAGG